rnacentral:lncRNA from 1 species
UUUGCAUAAAAAAUUCACUUAUUUUGGGCUUUUGCAAAACCGGGCCACCUUUUUUAUUUUUGCAAAUUCGGUCCGCUUUUUCAGCAAACUGACCAAAAUACCCUUAUUACUUUUUCUCUUUCCUCUUUCUCUCUCCUCUUCGUUCUCUCGUUCUUUUUUUUUUUUUUCGCCGAAAAAAAAAGCGACGGCCGGAGCACCGCUAGGCGGGCUCUUCUUCUUCUUCUUCUUCUUCCUGCAGGAGCAAUUUUUUUUUCUCUUUUUCUUUUUCUUCUUCUUCUUCUUCCUCCUGCUGGAGCUUUUUUUUUUUUUUCCCUCUUC